GACGAACGCUGGCGGCGUGCUUAACACAUGCAAGUCGAACGGAAAGGCCCUGCUUUUGUGGGGUGCUCGAGUGGCGAACGGGUGAGUAACACGUGAGUAACCUGCCCUUGACUUUGGGAUAACUUCAGGAAACUGGGGCUAAUACCGGAUAGGAGCUCCUGCUGCAUGGUGGGGGUUGGAAAGUUUCGGCGGUUGGGGAUGGACUCGCGGCUUAUCAGCUUGUUGGUGGGGUAGUGGCUUACCAAGGCGUUGACGGGUAGCCGGCCUGAGAGGGUGACCGGCCACAUUGGGACUGAGCUACGGCCCAGACUCCUACGGGAGGCAGCAGUGGGGAAUAUUGCACAAUGGGCGGAAGCCUGAUGCAGCAACGCCGCGUGCGGGAUGACGGCCUUCGGGUUGUAAACCGCUUUCGCCUGUGACGAAGCGUGAGUGACGGUAAUGGGUAAAGAAGCACCGGCUAACUACGUG
rnacentral:rRNA from 1 species